GCUUGGCUGGCUCAGUUGGAGGAGCAUGUGACUCUUGAUCUCAGGGCUGUGAGUUCAAACCCCACAUUGGGUG
rfam:Felis catus isolate Cinnamon breed Abyssinian chromosome C1, whole genome shotgun sequence.